rnacentral:rRNA from 1 species
CAGAGGCGAUGAAAGACGUGAUAGCCUGCGAAAAGCUCCGGGGAGGCGGCAAAUAUCCUUUGAUCCGGAGAUGUCUGAAUGGGGGAACCCACCUACUUUAAGGUAGGUAUUGCAACAUGAAUACAUAGUGUUGCAAGGCGAACGAGGGGAAGUGAAACAUCUCAGUACCCUUAGGAAAAGAAAUCAAUUGAGAUUCCCUCAGUAGCGGCGAGCGAACGGGGAUCAGCCCAUUAAGUUAUGUGUGUUUUAGUGGAACGCUCUGGGAAGUGCGAACGUAGAGGGUGAUAUUCCCGUACACGAAAGGGCACACAUAAUGAUGACGAGUAGGGCGAGGCACGUGAAACCUUGUCUGAAUAUGGGGGGACCAUCCUCCAAGGCUAAAUACUCCUGACUGACCGAUAGUGAACCAGUACCGUGAGGGAAAGGCGAAAAGAACCCCUGUGAGGGGAGUGAAAUAGAUCCUGAAACCGCAUGCAUACAAGCAGUGGGAGCACCUUCGUGGUGUGACUGCGUACCUUUUGUAUAAUGGGUCAGCGACUUAUAUUCAGUAGCGAGGUUAACCGUAUAGGGGAGCCGUAGAGAAAUCGAGUCUUAAUAGGGCGUUUAGUUGCUGGGUAUAGACCCGAAACCAGGCGAUCUAUCCAUGAGCAGGUUGAAGGUUGGGUAACACUAACUGGAGGACCGAACCCACUGUCGUUGAAAAGCCAGGGGAUGACUUGUGGAUAGGGGUGAAAGGCUAAUCAAGCCUGGUGAUAGCUGGUUCUCCCCGAAAGCUAUUUAGGUAGCGCCUCGGACGAAUACCAUAGGGGGUAGAGCACUGUUUCGGCUAGGGGGUCAUCCCGACUUACCAAACCGAUGCAAACUCCGAAUACCUAUGAGUACUAUCCGGGAGACAGACUGCGGGUGCUAACGUCCGUAGUCAAGAGGAAAACAAUCCAGACCGCCAGCUAAGGCCCCAAAAUCAUAGUUAAGUGGGAAACGAUGUGGGAAGGCAUAGACAGCUAGGAGGUUGGCUUAGAAGCAGCCACCCUUUAAAGAAAGCGUAAUAGCUCACUAGUCGAGUCGGCCUGCGCGGAAGAUGUAACGGGGCUAAAACUAUGUGCCGAAGCUGCGGAUGUAUACUUUGUAUACGUGGUAGGGGAGCGUUCUGUAAGCCGAUGAAGGUGUGUUGAGAAGCAUGCUGGAGGUAUCAGAAGUGCGAAUGCUGACGUGAGUAACGACAAAACGGGUGAAAAACCCGUUCGCCGAAAGACCAAGGGUUCCAGUCCAACGUUAAUCGGGGCUGGGUGAGUCGACCCCUAAGGCGAGGCCGAAAGGCGUAGUCGAUGGGAAAAUGGUUAAUAUUCCAUUACUUCUGUGUAAUGCGAUGAGAGGACGGAGAAGGCUAAAUCAGCCUGGCGUUGGUUGUCCAGGUGAAAGGAUGUAGGCAUGUAUCUUAGGCAAAUCCGGGGUACUCUAUGCUGAGAUCUGAUAGCAAGCUGUACUUGUACAGCGAAGUGGUUGAUGCCAUGCUUCCAGGAAAAGUCUCUAAGCUUCAGUUACACAGGAAUCGUACCCGAAACCGACACAGGUGGUCAGGUCGAGUAGACCAAGGCGCUUGAGAGAACUCUGCUGAAGGAACUAGGCAAAAUGGUACCGUAACUUCGGGAGAAGGUACGCUGUUGUUGGUGAUGGAACUCGCUUCCUGAGCUGACGACAGCCGCAGAAACCAGGCCGCUGCAACUGUUUAUUAAAAACAUAGCACUCUGCAAACACGAAAGUGGACGUAUAGGGUGUGAUGCCUGCCCGGUGCUGGAAGGUUAAUUGAUGGGGUUAGCGUAAGCGAAGCUCUUGAUCGAAGCCCCAGUAAACGGCGGCCGUAACUAUAACGGUCCUAAGGUAGCGAAAUUCCUUGUCGGGUAAGUUCCGACCUGCACGAAUGGCAUAAUGAUGGCGGCGCUGUCUCCAGCAGAGGCUCAGUGAAAUCGAAAUCGCUGUGAAGAUGCAGUGUACCCGCGGCUAGACGGAAAGACCCCGUGAACCUUUACUGCAGCUUGACACUGAACUUUGACCUUACUUGUGUAGGAUAGGUGGGAGGCUUUGAAGCUGGAACGCUAGUUCCAGUGGAGCCGUCCUUGAAAUACCACCCUGGUAAUGUUGAGGUUCUAACUCUGUCCCGUGAUCCGGGACGAGGACCGUGUCUGGUGGGUAGUUUGACUGGGGCGGUCUCCUCCUAAAGAGUAACGGAGGAGUACGAAGGUGCGCUCAGCGUGGUCGGAAAUCACGCGUAGAGUAUAAAGGCAAAAGCGCGCUUAACUGCGAGACCCACAAGUCGAGCAGGUACGAAAGUAGGUCUUAGUGAUCCGGUGGUUCUGUAUGGAAGGGCCAUCGCUCAACGGAUAAAAGGUACUCUGGGGAUAACAGGCUGAUACCGCCCAAGAGUUCAUAUCGACGGCGGUGUUUGGCACCUCGAUGUCGGCUCAUCUCAUCCUGGGGCUGAAGCAGGUCCCAAGGGUAUGGCUGUUCGCCAUUUAAAGAGGUACGCGAGCUGGGUUUAGAACGUCGUGAGACAGUUCGGUCCCUAUCUACCGUGGGCGCUGGAAAUUUGAGAGGAUCUGCUCCUAGUACGAGAGGACCAGAGUGGACGAACCUCUGGUGUACCGGUUGUGACGCCAGUCGCAUCGCCGGGUAGCUAUGUUCGGAAGGGAUAACCGCUGAAAGCAUCUAAGCGGGAAGCCUACCUCAAGAUAAGAUUUCCCUAGGACUUUAUGUCCUCUAAAGAGCCGUUCGAGACUAGGACGUUGAUAGGUUGGAUGUGGAAGCAUAGUGAUAUGUGAAGCUGACCAAUACUAAUUGCUCGUGAGGCUUGACUA